GUAAAGAAAGAUUAAAAGGGUCACGCCCUCCGCCCCUCAACCUCUGUAAUCAGUUUCUUUCUGCCCUGUUUUGUAGAUGCACCUGCCUAGGUGAGACCUCAAAGAACAAUAAUCCUGUGGGUGCGUCUAAUCUGUUUGCAAGCUCCUGGGAGCCUCUCAGAUGUAAUCUGAAACUGGCCCAUGUCCUCAGAGGUGAGGGAGAGUCAGAAGAAAGACACAGGCCUCUCCAGGUAGGCAGGGGGCUUGUCUUGGGUGGCAAUAAGACAAGCAGAUCUCCACACCUGCCCACCAAAUCUUCAAAGUUUAUAUAGAGGCCUUAACUGGAUUCAAUCACAUAUACGAUCUAGAUGGUCUCAACACCACAUCACUACUUCAAGGCUGUAUCCUUGGCGCAGCCUCUGGGAAGAGGGGAGGCAAGCAGAACCUACAAUCCAAGGGAUGGGGGCAAAGGGGGCAGUGAGGAAUCUCUGAUUUGGGGAUCCAGUUCAAGGUCAACCAGUAGUCACAUCCUCCCAGCGACCUCCUCCAACAUAUUAUUAUAGUUGUUUUGUGUUAAUAUUGAUUGAGAUAAUUUAUCUUCUUUAUGACUUUAGUUUUCUCUAGGUCUUUUGAUGCCCUUAAUAAAUAUUUGUUUUGACUUUAA